rnacentral:rRNA from 1 species
UACAGAGGGUGCGAGCGUUGUUCGGAAUUAUUGGGCGUAAAGCGCGUGUAGGCGGUGAUGCAUGUCGGGUGUGAAAGCCCUCAGCUCAACUGAGGAAGUGCGCCCGAAACUGCAUCGCUGGAGUGCCGGAGAGGAAGGCGGAAUUCCCGGGUGUAGAGGUGAAAUUCGUAGAUAUCGGGAGGAACACCAGUGGCGAAGGCGGCCUUCUGGACGGA